rnacentral:lncRNA from 7 species
AAGGGCCAAGGCAGGGCACUGCACUGCACGCAUGCACUGACCUGACGACGACACGCACCGCGGCGACCCGGGGCCAAGGUGCGGCGACGGCGAGGACGAUGGUGGGGAGUGGUCGCCGACGCCGAGGCUCGCGAGGGGCCACCGUUUCUAGCUAGCUAUGCUAUGCUAGCCAUAGCCAGCGGGGACUGGUUUCUAGCGCGCAGCAGGGAGCUACGUACGUGUCUUUUAUUUUGUGACGCUGAUCCAUCGGUCAGCCUGUGCUGAUUGACGCGACCGCUACCUAGCUAGCUUCGUUCGUGGUGUGUCCUCUCGUGACCCACGAGAGUGGAGUAGAAUAAUCAUGCAUUGUUGUAUGCAACGUGCUUAGCAGCUUCGUGGUUCGUGCGUGUGCCCUCUCGUGACACACGCGUUGAGUAAAAAUAACGUGGAUGGAUCAGCCUACUGCUCCUAGCCAGGCUGCUAGCUAGCUAGCAGCUGGGAGUAGCUGCGUGCCCUUGCUGAUCUCGUGUCUCUGUCAGACCUGUUGUAAAAUCUAGUUGUACUGUGUUAUAAAUUGUAAUCUAGUUGUACUGUGUGCUAUCCUGAUCGGAUCAGGCUCCUCUGAAUAAAUAAUAAAGUGGGUAUGGCACUAUGGCCUGGGGCUGGCCGGCUGGGCCCCGGGGCAGCGAUGCAUGCAUGCAUGCAUUAAUUGCUGCAUGGGCGUGCCUGUCCCCUGCCCCGCAUCGUCG